GUCUACGGCCAUGCUACCCUGAACAAGACCAAUCCCGUCUGAUCUUGGAAGCGAAGCAGUACUUGGAUGGAAGACCACCUAGGAAGACCAGGUGCUGUAGGCA
rnacentral:rRNA from 1 species